CAUUUUUUUUUUUUCAUCCUUGAGCUCAUUUAAUUUUUUUUUCUUUCUCUUCACCAAUUUCUCUUCUGCAGCAAUCAGUUUGUUUUCAAGUGCAAUGUCAUUAUCUUCUUUAUAUGCAAUAACUACUUCCAAAGCCUCUUUCUUGUCGAAAAGGACAUCAAACACAACCCUGUCUUUGCAUCCUUGCCUAAUCUCAUCAUCAAACCACAUAAAAAUAUUGCAAUUUUUCAGUUGUAUCACAAUAAUAAAACAAACUCAAUCUUGGUAAUUUGAAUUCAACGCAAAUUACAGUAGGAUCCAAAUAUUGACUUAGUUCUCAUUAAAAUUGGAUAACUCAAUAACUUGAAGCAUCAAUCCCCACUCAAACCCAUAAAAUAUAAAUUCAUUACCUUCCUCAAGGGACAAGAAUAGUACUUUCUUCCUGGAUUUUUCCUUGUAUAUGUAGUUAGCAGCUGUGCAUGUAGAUGAUGAACAAGGCAGCAAUCUCAGCGACUGCCGCUUCUAGCUGAUGAAGAAGUAUUGUUUGCAAUAAGAAUACAAUUAUCUGAAGAAUGGCUUUAGAGAGGUUAGGGAUUGGUUUGGGAUUAGGGAUUUUGAUGGCAUCUUAGGUUGUAAUGGCUUUAAA
rnacentral:misc_RNA from 1 species